CCAAUAGCGUAUAUUAAAGUUGUUGCAGUUAAAAAGCUCGUAGUUGAAUUUCGGGAUCAGAUUGUCGGUCGUGCCUCGGUACGCACUGGCAUUAUUGGUUCCUACCUUCUGAAGAACCGCGAUGUCAUUAAUUUGGUGUCGCGGGGAAUCAGGACUGUUACUUUGAAAAAAUUAGAGUGUUUAAAGCAGGCGCACGCUUGAAUACAUUAGCAUGGAAUAAUGAAAUAGGACGUUUGAUUCUAUUUUGUUGGUUUCUAGGAUCGACGUAAUGAUUAAUAGGGAUAGUUGGGGGCAUUAGUAUUCAAUUGUCAGAGGUGAAAUUCUUGGAUUUAUUGAAGACUAACUACUGCGAAAGCAUUUGCCAAGGAUGUUUUCAUUAAUCAAGAACGAAAGUUAGGGGAUCGAAGACGAUCAGAUACCGUCGUAGUCUUAACCAUAAACUAUGCCGACUAGGGAUCGGAUGAUGUUGAUUUUAUAAUGACUCAUUCGGCGCCUUACG
rnacentral:rRNA from 1 species